rnacentral:rRNA from 1 species
GGAGUAAAUAACUAAAAUAUUUUUGUAUA